GGAUGACCCUGAUGGCAACGGUGCGCUG
rnacentral:sRNA from 1 species